GAUGAACGCUGGCGGCGUGCCUAAUACAUGCAAGUCGAGCGAACAGACGAGGAGCUUGCUCCUCUGACGUUAGCGGCGGACGGGUGAGUAACACGUGGAUAACCUACCUAUAAGACUGGGAUAACUUCGGGAAACCGGAGCUAAUACCGGAUAAUAUAUUGAACCGCAUGGUUCAAUAGUGAAAGACGGUUUUGCUGUCACUUAUAGAUGGAUCCGCGCCGCAUUAGCUAGUUGGUAGGGUAACGGCUUACCAAGGCAACGAUGCGUAGCCGACCUGAGAGGGUGAUCGGCCACACUGGAACUGAGACACGGUCCAGACUCCUACGGGAGGCAGCAGUAGGGAAUCUUCCGCAAUGGGCGAAAGCCUGACGGAGCAACGCCGCGUGAGUGAUGAAGGUCUUCGGAUCGUAAAACUCUGUUAUUAGGGAAGAACAAAUGUGUAAGUAACUAUGCACGUCUUGACGGUACCUAAGCAGAAAGCCACGGCUAACUACGG
rnacentral:rRNA from 1 species